rnacentral:rRNA from 1 species
UACGGAAGGCAGCAGUGGGGAAUAUUGCACAAUGGGCGCAAGCCUGAUGCAGCCAUGCCGCGUGUAUGAAGAAGGCCUUCGGGUUGUAAAGUACUUUCAGCGGGGAGGAAGGCGAUGUGGUUAAUAACCGCGUCGAUUGACGUUACCCGCAGAAGAAGCACCGGCUAACUCCGUGCCAGCAGCCGCGGUAAUACGGAGGGUGCAAGCGUUAAUCGGAAUUACUGGGCGUAAAGCGCACGCAGGCGGUCUGUUAAGUCAGAUGUGAAAUCCCCGGGCUUAACCUGGGAACUGCAUUUUGAAACUGGCAGGCUUGAGUCUCGUAGAGGGGGUAGAAUUCCAGGUGUAGCGGUGAAAUGCGUAGAGAUCUGGAGGAAUACCGGUGGCGAAGGCGGCCCCUGGGACGAAGACUGACGCUCAGGUGCGAAAGCGUGGGGAGCAAACGAGGGAUUAGGAU